CCUCGGUCUUUACUCCAGCGGACACGUGUGAGCGGAGGGAAUCGAACACGUCCUCACUUCAUAGACCCGAACAUCAUCAAGGGCUCCAUCAUGUGUCCCGACAGGUUUAAUCUGGAUCUCAUGCCUUUGGUUGGACACCUGUAUGAUCCUGAUGGAGGAUGAUGGCGGUGGUCUCUGAUCUUCUGAAGAAUGUCCUUCACUAACAUCACAGUCUGCAGUUACCGCAGUGUGACUACUACCGGAAAUGGGUCUGAGAGGACUUCCUGUCUGCAUCAUCGCUGCUUGAAAAGACUCGAGGUUUAAGUUUGGGAAGAUGAAACCACACGAGAUGUUGCAGCAGCUGUGAAAGUCGUAGGAAGUGUUCGAGCUUUACAGGUGAGACACUGGGCUCCUGAAGGAAAGUGGAGCAGUGGAAAGAAAUCCAGUGAACAGUUCAAAACCAUUUAAAGAAAUACAUUGACAUCAUGAUUCCUUUAAGUUUUUGUGUCCGUGUCCCCCCCCAAAGCUGUAAAUGUAAUCUAUUUCUAAUGUCUUACAAAUAAUGCAUUAUGAAUCUACAUUGUACUCUACUGUAAGAAAUAAAAACAUCUUUCAACUCUA